rnacentral:rRNA from 1 species
UACGUAGGGCGCGAGCGUUGUCCGGAAUUAUUGGGCGUAAAGAGCUCGUAGGCGGCCUGUCGCGUCCGCUGUGAAAUCCCGGGGCUUAACCCCGGGCCUGCAGUGGAUACGGGCAGGCUGGAGGCAGGCAGGGGAGAACGGAAUUCCCGGUGUAGCGGUGAAAUGCGCAGAUAUCGGGAGGAACACCCAUGGCGAAGGCAGCAAGCUGGGCGACACCUGACGCUGAGGCGCGAAAGCGUGGGUAGCAAACAGG